GCGCCCUCGCUGCGGCGGACUGGCGGUGUCAGGCCUCCGGGGUCUGGUCCUUCUUGUCGCCGUUCGAGGCGGCGUGGAUGUUC
rnacentral:tRNA from 1 species